rnacentral:lncRNA from 1 species
UUCAAAGAGUCUGUGGGUUAUCUCAGCUUUCCUGUUCUUCUUGAUUUUUGAAUGUGAAGGCAGGGAUUUCAACCUGGGCAACAAGUCCACAGAACAUGAGAUUUCUGAAGGUGUGUGGGAUACAUCAUGGUUACAUAAAAAUCCUUUCACUAUAGUUCCUGCUUCCCUAUCUUCAAAAUGAUUCCCUGAAGACUUCCGCCAUGACGGUCUAAAGCCUAACCUCUGAACUGUGGAUGGAAAAUUGAACUCCUUGAUGUGAUCUCUGCACAUCAUGCAACCCUAAACCUAAAUAUAUUCUCUGUGUGGGAGCCCCAUUAUUUUUAGUCUAAUACAUUUUAAGUCAUCUUAAAAAAUUAUAUUUUGUUUUCUUUUAUAUGGUCGAUUUUACCUUGUUUUCUUUGACUA